rnacentral:rRNA from 2 species
UACGGAGGGUGCAAGCGUUGUCCGGAAUCACUGGGCGUAAAGGGCGCGUAGGUGGCGCGGUAAGCGUGCGGUGAAAGCCCGGGGCUCAACCCCGGGUCGGCCGUGCGAACUGCUGGGCUGGAGCAUCGUAGAGGCAGGUGGAAUUUCGGGUGUAGCGGUGGAAUGCGUAGAGAUCCGAAAGAACACCAGUGGCGAAGGCGGCCUGCUGGGCGAUUGCUGACACUGAGGCGCGACAGCGUGGGGAGCAAACAGG